UUGAUCCUGGCUCAGAAUCAACGCUGGCGGCGUGCCUAACACAUGCAAGUCGAACGCGAGGACCCCGCAAGGGGUUAGUAGAGUGGCGAACGGGUGAGUUACACGUGGGUGACCUACCUUCGAAUGGGGGAUAACGUCCCGAAAGGGACUCUAAUACCGCAUAACAUCCUGCUUUUGAACAGGUGGAGAUCAAAGCCGGUGAUCGCAAGACCUGGCGUUUGAAGAGGGGCCCGCGUCUGAUUAGCUAGUUGGUGAGGUAACGGCCCACCAAGGCUACGAUCAGUAUCCGGCCUGAGAGGUCGGACGGACACACUGGGACUAAGACACGGCCCAGACUCCUACGGGAGGCUGCAGUGGGGAAUUGUUCGCAAUGGGCGCAAGCCUGACGACGCAACGCCGUGUGGAGGAUGAAGGUCUUCGGAUUGUAAACUCCUGUUGCUCGGGACGAAUAGCUUCGACCUAACACGUCGAAGUCUGACGGUACCGGGUGAGGAAGCCCUGGCUAACUCUGUGCCAGCAGCCGCGGUAAUAAGGU
rnacentral:rRNA from 1 species